rnacentral:rRNA from 1 species
GGCGAACGCUGGCGGCGUGCUUAACACAUGCAAGUCGAACGAGAAUCUACUGAAAGAGUUUUCGGACAAUGGAUGUAGAGGAAAGUGGCGGACGGGUGAGUAACGCGUGAGGAACCUGCCUUGAAGAGGGGGACAACAGUUGGAAACGACUGCUAAUACCGCAUGAUGCAUAGGGAUCGCAUGAUUCUUAUGCCAAAGAUUUAUCGCUUCAAGAUGGCCUCGCGUCUGAUUAGCUAGUUGGCGGGGUAACGGCCCACCAAGGCGACGAUCAGUAGCCGGACUGAGCGGUUGAACGGCCACAUUGGGACUGAGAUACGGCCCAGACUCCUACGGGAGGCAGCAGUGGGGAAUAUUGGGCAAUGGGCGCAAGCCUGACCCAGCAACGCCGCGUGAAGGAAGAAGGCUUUCGGGUUGUAAACUUCUUUUAAGAGGGAAGAGCAGAAGACGGUACCUCUAGAAUAAGCCACGGCUAACUACGUGCCAGCAGCCGCGGUAA